ACGCGGGAAAUCUUACCAGGUCCAGGCAUAUGGAGGAUUGACAGACAGUUAACCAAAACGCAGCAGCUAGUUUAACAAAACUAACAGCUCUUUCAAGAUUAUGUGGUAGGUGGUGCAUGGCCGUUCUUAGUUCGUGAAGUGAUUCGUUCGCCCAAUCGCAUUUCCAAACAACUAACAACUCAGAAUGCUGGGCAAUAGGACGUUUAAAGUGGCUCCUUACACCUUACAAAGGAAUGGCUGAUGAGAAACAACUCGAUCCGCUCAGCGUUCUAUUGGAAUGCAACGGACGUGAUUGCAAGCUUUUGUUUUGAGUUGCGGUUUUACUGAAAGACUCUACAAUCCGCAAACUUCAAUGAUCUGAAGUAGAAAACCUACAUGCUACAGUGAGAUAUUGUGGAUAAACUUAAGCGACCGCUCCAACAUUGUGUUUUUUUAAAACUGAUGAAGGUUGCGGCA
rnacentral:rRNA from 1 species